CCCUUAGAUGUCCUGGGCCGCACGCGCGCUACACUGAUGCAUGCAACGAGUUUAUAACCUUGGCCUGAAAGGUCUGGGUAAUCUUUUGAACGUGCAUCGUGAUAGGGAUAGAUUAUUGCAAUUGUUAAUCUUGAACGAGGAAUUCCUAGUAAACGCGAGUCAUCAGCUCGCAUUGAUUACGUCCCUGCCCUUUGUACACACCGCCCGUCGCACCUACCGAUUGAAUGGUUCGGUGAAGAUCUCGGACUUCGAUAUUUAUUCUUUAUUGAGUCUAUAUUGUGGGAAGUUAUCUAAACCUCAUCAUUUAGAGGAAGGUGAAGUCGUAACA
rnacentral:rRNA from 1 species